GUGAUUCUCUUCAGAAGCAGGCAAACGUGUUCGUGCUCCAAGCCUACUUCAGUUGUCGUCCAACCCAUAGAGUAGAUCUAUCAUGUUCUUUCUAACAGCUACCACGAUGCUGCACUGUUUGUUUCUCCUGUUUUCAACAAUGAUUGGUAAAAGUUUUCAGGACGGAAUCACAUCAGCAACUAAUGCAGUGCAAGCUUUGGAAGGCAGCAGUGUCACACUGUCAUGCAACUACACUUCUUCUACUGCUGGGGAUGAUUUACACUGGUAUCGCCAAUACCCCAGAUCAAAACCUGAAUUCAUCAUCCGCAUCAACAAAUACAAUGAGAGAGCAGAGAAAGAGGGGUUUACUGUUAAACAUGAAAAAGAAAACAACUAUGUGUAUCUGGAGAUCUCCUCUGCUAAAAUGACAGACUCUGCACUGUACUUCUGUGCCUUGCAGCCCACAGUGACAGGAAACCCAUAAACUCUGUACAAAAACCUGACACAAACUGAAC